rnacentral:misc_RNA from 1 species
GAUGAAGAACGUAGUGAAAUGCGAUAAGUAAUGUGAAUUGCAGAAUUCAGUGAAUCAUCGAAUCUUUGAACGCACAUUGCGCCCGCCAGAAUUCUGGCGGGCAUGCCUGUUCGAGCGUCAUUUCAACCCUCGAGCUCCCCUUGGGGAGCCCGGCGUUGGGGACCGGCAGUAACACCGCCGGCCCCGAAAUGGAGUGGCGGCCCCGCCCGCGGCGACCUCUGCGUAGUAAAUCCACUCGCACCGGGACCCGGGCGCGGCCACGCCGUAAAACACCCAACUUCCGAAUGUUGACCUCGAAUCAGGUAGGAAUACCCGCUGAACUUAAGCAUAUCAAUAAGCGGAGGA